AGAACGAACGCUGGCGGCAUACCUAAUACAUGCAAGUCGAACGAACACUUCGGUGUUAGUGGCGCACGGGUGCGUAACGCGUGGGAAUCUGCCCUUGGGUUCGGAAUAACAGUUGGAAACGACUGCUAAUACCGGAUGAUAUCGAAAGAUCAAAGAUUUAUCGCCCAGGGAUGAGCCCGCGUAGGAUUAGCUAGUUGGUGAGGUAAAGCUCACCGAAGGCGACGAUCCUAGCGUGGUCUGAGAGGAUGAUCACGCCACAGUGGACUGAGACACGCCCAGUACUCCGACGGGACGGCAGCAAGGUAGGAAUAGUGGACAAGUGGGACGAAGCCUAGACUACCGAGAC
rnacentral:rRNA from 1 species